rnacentral:tRNA from 1 species
GGAUUGUGGCUCAGUGGUAGUGCACUUGCCUAGCACAUGCGAGGCGCUGAGUUCAAUCCUCAGCACCA